rnacentral:rRNA from 1 species
GUACACUCCUGCGGGAGGCAGCAGUGGGGAAUAUUGGACAAUGGGCGCAAGCCUGAUCCAGCCAUGCCGCGUGAGUGAUGAAGGCCCUAGGGUUGUAAAGCUCUUUCACCGGUGAAGAUAAUGACGGUAACCGGAGAAGAAGCCCCGGCUAACUUCGUGCCAGCAGCCGCGGUAAUACGAAGGGGGCUAGCGUUGUUCGGAUUUACUGGGCGUAAAGCGCACGUAGGCGGACUAUUAAGUCAGGGGUGAAAUCCCGGGGCUCAACCCCGGAACUGCCUUUGAUACUGGUAGUCUUGAGUUCGAGAGAGGUGAGUGGAAUUCCGAGUGUAGAGGUGAAAUUCGUAGAUAUUCGGAGGAACACCAGUGGCGAAGGCGGCUCACUGGCUCGAUACUGACGCUGAGGUGCGAAAGCGUGGGGAGCAAACAGGAUUAGAAACCCGGGUAGUCCCAUGA